GCGUGUGGGAUGAAGGCCCUCGGGUUGUAAACCACUUUUGGCAGGAAAGAAAUCGCCUGUGCUAAUACCACGGGCGGAUGACGGUACCUGCAGAAUAAGCACCGGCUAACUACGUGCCAGCAGCCGCGGUAAUACGUAGGGUGCGAGCGUUAAUCGGAAUUACUGGGCGUAAAGAGUGCGUAGGCGGUUUUGUAAGACAGAUGUGAAAUCCCCGGGCUUAACCUGGGAACUGCAUUUGUGACUGCAAGACUAGAGUGUGUCAGAGGGAGGUGGAAUUCCGCGUGUAGCAGUGAAAUGCGU
rnacentral:rRNA from 1 species